rnacentral:misc_RNA from 1 species
CACAGCACAACCUGUAAGCAGGUAAUUGGCACUGUGGCCUGUUGAGAAUUUAAUCUCAUUUCCCAUCAGUUAUUUGUUUUCAUAUUCUAGGAUUAUAAGAGUUGUUUUGACAAUCCACUUUGUUAUUUUUUUGCACAACAUUAUUUAAGAAAUUGACUUUCCACUGGUUGAUAAAUAACGAGAAAUUAAGGACUAAAACAUUGCUCAAGAAUCAAGAAUGUCUGCAAACUAACUUGCUGUUAGUUGUGUUUGUUUCAUUUUCAUAUCUAUGAUGAACUUUUUUAUACUGGGAAAUAUACCCCUUGUGCAUUAAAAAAUCGCUUUGCAGAUAUUUUUUGAAGUAUAUGACAUGAAAGAAUAUGUUGAAUUCUAAAGAAAUAUGAUUUGAUGCUGGGAGGAAUCAGAUUAUUAAGUUAAAUAAUCGUUUUGUAUUGUGUCAUGAAUUCUGAAAAUUGUGAACAAUAAGACGAGCAUUGUGAAUGGUCUGCUUGAGCUUUUCCUCUCCAGAUCUAAAUAAUGAAGUUGGGUGCUGAUGUACAAGUUCUUUUGCCAGGUAUCCACCUGCUCCAAGUG